AUGGAGGACGAGCCAUGGGGGGACCUUGGGGGUGACUCAAUUGUCUCCUUCCUCUCUCCCUCCCCAGGGCUGCGGGCGGCCGUGGAGCUGACGGAGUCCGGAGGGGGCACCGUGACACCCGGGGGGUCCCUCACCCUCCGCUGCAAGGCCUCCGGCUUCACCUUCAGCAGCUACAACAUGGUUUGGGUGCGACAGGCCCCUGGGAAGGGGCUGCAGUUGGUCGCAGUUAUUAGCAACACUGGUCGUACCACAGUUUACGCGCCGUCGGUGAAGGGUCGCUUCACCAUCUCCAGGGACAACUCCCAGAGCACGGUCACGCUGCAGAUGAACAGCCUCAAGGAGGACGACACGGCCACCUACUACUGCGGCAGAGAUGCUCGUGGUGGUGGUUGGGUUGAUGGUGGCCCCGACACCGUAUACCCUCACUGUGCUCCAUGA